GGACUACAGGGGUUUCUAAUCCUGUUCGCUACCCACGCUUUCGUCCAUCAGCGUCAAUCCAUUAGUAGUAACCUGCCUUCGCAAUUGGUAUUCCAUGUAAUCUCUAAGCAUUUCACCGCUACACUACAUAUUCUAGUUACUUCCUAAUAAUUCAAGCCUAACAGUAUCAAUGGCCGUUCCUACGUUAAGCGUAGGGCUUUCACCACUGACUUAUUAAGCCGCCUACGGACCCUUUAAACCCAAUGAUUCCGGAUAACGCUUGGAUCCUCCGUAUUACCGCGGCUGCUGGCAC
rnacentral:misc_RNA from 1 species